UGUGAAGCAUGGCUCAGGAGGGCAGCCUUUCUCCAUCCACACUGGGCAGCGAUUCUGCACACCUGGCCGGGACAUCUUACACUGCUUCUCUCUCAGGCGGAGUUUUUAACUCACAGCCUCAGGACUUAACUAUUUCUAUCCUGCUUGCUAAGUUGGCAGAUGAGGGAGGAAUUUGAAGCUCAAAAAGACUGAAUCUUGCUACAGCACCAUGUUGUAGGUUGCCUGGACCACACCACUUUGUACUUGCUCAUUUUCAAAGCUAAAACAUCG